rnacentral:rRNA from 1 species
UUCCGGUUGAUCCCGCCGGACCUGACUGCUAUCGGAUUGAUACUAAGCCAUGCGAGUCAUUGUAGCAAUACAAGGCAUACGGCUCAGUAACGCGUAGUCAACCUAACCUAUGGACGGGAAUAACCUCGGGAAACUGAGAAUAAUGCCCGAUAGAACACUAUACCUGGAAUGGUUUGUGUUCCAAAUGAUUUAUCGCCAUAGGAUGGGACUGCGGCCUAUCAGUUUGUUGGUGAGGUAAUGGCCCACCGAGACUAUUACAGGUACGGGCUCUGAGAGGAGUAGCCCGGAGAUGGGUACUGAGACACGGACCCAGGCCCUAUGGGGCGCAGCAGGCGAGAAAACUUUGCAAUGUGCGAAAGCACGACAAGGUUAAUCCGAGUGAUUUGUGCUAAACGAAUCUUUUGUUAGUCCUAGAAACACUAACGAAUAAGGGGUGGGCAAGUUCUGGUGUCAGCCGCCGCGGUAAAACCAGCACCUCAAGUGGUCAGGAUGAUUAUUGGGCCUAAAGCAUCCGUAGCCGGCUCUGUAAGUUUUCGGUUAAAUCUGUACGCUUAACGUACAGGCUGCCGGGAAUACUGCAAAGCUAGGGAGUGGGAGAGGUAGACGGUACUCGGUAGGAAGUGGUAAAAUGCUUUGAUCUAUCGAUGACCACCUGUGGCGAAGGCGGUCUACCAGAACACGUCCGACGGUGAGGGAUGAAAGCUGGGGGAGCAAACCGGAUUAGAUACCCGGGUAGUCCCAGCUGUAAACUAUGCAAACUCAGUGAUGCAUUGGCUUGUGGCCAAUGCAGUGCUGCAGGGAAGCCGUUAAGUUUGCCGCCUGGGAAGUACGUACGCAAGUAUGAAACUUAAAGGAAUUGGCGGGGGAGCACCACAAGGGGUGAAGCCUGCGGUUCAAUUGGAUUCAACGCCGGG